ACACAGAGGCCGCCCGCCAAGUAUGGUGCCAUUCCGAGUCCCGCGGACGAACUUCGCCCACGCCCCCCACCAAGGCUAUAGCCCACGCGUUUUUUGGCCUUUUUUCCGCUGGGGGGUCUUGGGACCCCGACCUUCGGGGGCUGAUUUUUGGGCGCGGCUGUGCCCGUGGCCUAUUUUUGGCACACCGAGGCCGCCCGCCAAGUAUGGUGCCAUUCCGAGUCCCGCGGACGAACUUCGCCCACGUCCCCCACCAAAGCUAUAGCCCACGCGUUUUUUGGCCAUUUUUCCGCUGGGGGGUAUUGGGACCCCGACCUUCGGGGGCUGAUUUUUGGGCGCGGCUGUGCCCGUGGCCUAUUUUUGGCACACAGAGGCCGCCCGCCAAGUAUGGUGCCAUUCCGAGUCCCGCGGACGAACUUCGCCCACGCCCCCCACCAAGGCUAUAGCGCACCCGUUUUUUGGCCAUUUUUCCGCCGGGGGGUCUUGGGACCCCGACCUUCGGGGGCUGAUUUUUGGGCGCGGCUGUGCCCGUGGCCUAUUUUUAGCACACGGAGGCCGCCCGCCAAGUAUGGUGCCAUUCCGAGUCCCGCGGACGAACUUCGCCCACGCCCCCCACCAAGGCUAUAGCCCACGCGUUUUUUGACCAUUUUUCCGCUGGGGGGUCUUGGGACCCCGACCUUCGGGGGCUGAUUUUUGGGCGCGGCUGUGCCCGUGGCCUAUUUUUGGCACACCGAGGCCGCCCGCCAAGUAUGGUGCCAUUCCGAGUCCCGCGGACGAACUUCGCCCACGCCCCCCACCAAGGCUAUAGCCCACGCGUUUUUUGACCAUUUUUCCGCUGGGGGGUCUUGGGACCCCGACGUUCGGGGGCUGAUUUUUGGGCGCGGCUGUGCCCGUGGCCUAUUUUUGGCACACGGAGGCCGCCCGCCAAGUAUGGUGCCAUUCCGAGUCCCACGGACGAACUUCGCCCACGCCCCCCACCAAGGCUAUAGCCCACGCGUUUUUUGGCCAUUUUUCCGCUGGGGGGUCUUGGGACCCCGACCUUCGGGGGCUGAUUUUUGGGCGCGGCUGUUCCCGUGGCCUAUUUUUGGCACACAGAGGCCGCCCGCCAAGUAUGGUGCCAUUCCGAGUCCCGCGGACGAACUUCGCCUACGCCCCCCACCAAGGCUAUAGCCCACCCUUUUUUUGGCCAUUUUUCCGCUGGGGGGUCUUGGGACCCCGACCUUCGGGGGCUGAUUUUUGGGCGCGGCUGUGCCCGUGGCCUAUUUUUGGCACACGGAGGCCGCCCGCCAAGUCUGGGGCCAUUCCGAGUCCCGCGGACGAACUUCGCCCACGCCCCCCACCAAGGCUAUAGCCCACCCUUUUUUUGGCCAUUUUUCCGCUGGGGGGUCUUGGGACCCCGACCUUCGGGGGCUGAUUUUUGGGCGCGGCUGUGCACGUGGCCUAUUUUUGGCACACAGAGGCCGCCCGCCAAGUAUGGUGCCAUUCCGAGUCCCGCGGACGAACUUCGCCCACGCCCCCCACCAAGGCUAUAGCCCACGCGUUUUUUGGCCAUUUUUCCGCUGGGGGGACUUGGGACCCCGACCUUCGGGGGCUGAUUUUUGGGCGCGGCUGUGCCCGUGGCCUAUUUUUGGCACACAGAGGCCGCCCGCCAAGUCUGGUGCCAUUCAGAGUCCCGCGGACGAACUUCGCCCACGCCCCCCACCAAGGCUAUAGCCCACGCGUUUUUUGGCCAUUUUUCCGCUGGGGGGUCUUGGGACCCCGACCUUCGGGGGCUGAUUUUUGGGCGCGGCUGUGCCCGUGGCCUAUUUUUGGCACACGGAGGCCGCCCGCCAAGUAUGGUGCCAUUCCGAGUCCCGCGGACGAACUUCGCCCACGCCCCCCACCAAGGCUAUAGCCCACCCGUUUUUUGGCCAUUUUUCCGCUGGGGGGUCUUGGGACCCCGACCUUCGGGGGCUGAUUUUUGGGCGCGGCUGUGCCCGUGGCCUAUUUUUGGCACACAGAGGCCGCCCGCCUAGUAUGGUGCCAUUCCGAGUCCCGCGGACGAACUUCGCCCACGCCCCCCACCAAGGCUAUAGCCCACCCGUUUUUUGGCCAUUUUUCCGCUGGGGGGUCUUGGGACCCCGACCUUCGGGGGCUGAUUUUUGGGCGCGGCUGUGCCCGUGGCCUAUUUUUGGCACACAGAGGCCGCCCGCCAAGUAUGGUGCCAUUCCGAGUCCCGCGGACGAACUUCGCCCACGCCCCCCACCAAGGCUAUAGCCCACCCGUUUCUUGGCCAUUUUUCCGCUGGGGGGUCUUGGGACCCCGACCUUCGGGGGCUGAUUUUUGGGCGCGGCUGUGCCCGUGGCCUAUUUUUGGCACACCGAGGCCGCCCGCCAAGUAUGGUGCCAUUCCGAGUCCCGCGGACGAACUUCGCCCACGCCCCCCACCAAGGCUAUAGCCCACGCGUUUUUUGGCCAU
rnacentral:lncRNA from 1 species